GGUCCUUCUUGAGUUGUAAUUUUUUUUUUUUUAAAUCCGUGGGUUACAUGCAUGGGAAUUCAUGUUAUUACGAGGAUGAAAUGAAUUAAGGUAUGGAGAAGUGCCAUAAACCCCACGUUCCAUAAAAAUGAAUUGUGGAAAUGGAAAAGCCGAAGCACAGGAGACAAGUGAGAGCUUAUGGAUUGAAGAUAUUACCUUAAGUCCUCAAAGCAUUUACAGUAGCUUCUCUUCACUUCAAGGCUUCCAAUGGCUCU